rnacentral:rRNA from 1 species
AAUGGGUCAGCGACUUAUAUUCUGUAGCAAGGUUAACCGAAUAGGGGAGCCGAAGGGAAACCGAGUCUUAACUGGGCGUUAAGUUGCAGGGUAUAGACCCGAAACCCGGUGAUCUAGCCAUGGGCAGGUUGAAGGUUGGGUAACACUAACUGGAGGACCGAACCGACUAAUGUUGAAAAAUUAGCGGAUGACUUGUGGCUGGGGGUGAAAGGCCAAUCAAACCGGGAGAUAGCUGGUUCUCCCCGAAAGCUAUUUAGGUAGCGCCUCGUGAAUUCAUCUCCGGGGGUAGAGCACUGUUUCGGCAAGGGGGUCAUCCCGACUUACCAACCCGAUGCAAACUGCGAAUACCGGAGAAUGUUAUCACGGGAGACACACGGCGGGUGCUAACGUCCGUCGUGAAGAGGGAAACAACCCAGACCGCCAGCUAAGGUCCCAAAGUCAUGGUUAAGUGGGAAACGAUGUGGGAAGGCCCAGACAGCCAGGAUGUUGGCUUAGAAGCAGCCAUCAUUUAAAGAAAGCGUAAUAGCUCACUGGUCGAGUCGGCCUGCGCGGAAGAUGUAACGGGGCUAAACCAUGCACCGAAGCUGCGGCAGCGACGCUUAUGCGUUGUUGGGUAGGGGAGCGUUCUGUAAGCCUGUGAAGGUGUGCUGUGAGGCAUGCUGGAGGUAUCAGAAGUGCGAAUGCUGACAUAAGUAACGAUAAAGCGGGUGAAAAGCCCGCUCGCCGGAAGACCAAGGGUUCCUGUCCAACGUUAAUCGGGGCAGGGUGAGUCGACCCCUAAGGCGAGGCCGAAAGGCGUAGUCGAUGGGAAACAGGUUAAUAUUCCUGUACUUGGUGUUACUGCGAAGGGGGGACGGAGAAGGCUAUGUUGGCCGGGCGACGGUUGUCCCGGUUUAAGCGUGUAGGCUGGUUUUCCAGGCAAAUCCGGAAAAUCAAGGCUGAGGCGUGAUGACGAGGCACUACGGUGCUGAAGCAACAAAUGCCCUGCUUCCAGGAAAAGCCUCUAAGCAUCAGGUAACAUCAAAUCGUACCCCAAACCGACACAGGUGGUCAGGUAGAGAAUACCAAGGCGCUUGAGAGAACUCGGGUGAAGGAACUAGGCAAAAUGGUGCCGUAACUUCGGGAGAAGGCACGCUGAUAUGUAGGUGAAGUCCCUUGCGGAUGGAGCUGAAAUCAGUCGAAGAUACCAGCUGGCUGCAACUGUUUAUUAAAAACACAGCACUGUGCAAACACGAAAGUGGACGUAUACGGUGUGACGCCUGCCCGGUGCCGGAAGGUUAAUUGAUGGGGUCAGCGCAAGCGAAGCUCUUGAUCGAAGCCCCGGUAAACGGCGGCCGUAACUAUAACGGUCCUAAGGUAGCGAAAUUCCUUGUCGGGUAAGUUCCGACCUGCACGAAUGGCGUAAUGAUGGCCAGGCUGUCUCCACCCGAGACUCAGUGAAAUUGAACUC